rnacentral:rRNA from 1 species
CAUGAAGCUGGAUUCGCUAGUAAUCGCGCAUCAGCCACGGCGCGGUGAAUACGUUCCCGGGCCUUGUACACACCGCCCGUCAAGCCAUGGAAGCCGGGAGUGCCUGAAGUGCGUGAGCGCAAGCAGCGCCCUAAGGUAAAACCGGUGACUGGGGCUAAGUCGUAACAAGGUAGC